UACGUAGGGGACAAGCGUUGUCCGGAAUUAUUGGGCGUAAAGAGCGCGUAGGCGGUCUUGUAAGUGUGAAGUGAAAUCUCCAGGGCUCAACCCGGAAACUGCUUUACAUACUGCAAGACUGGAGGGAUGCAGAGGUUUGUGGAAUUCCUGGUGUAACGGUGAAAUGUGUUGAUAUCAGGAGGAACACCCAUGGCGAAGGCAGCAAACUGGGCAUCAUCUGACGCUGAGGCGCGAAAGCGUGGGUAGCAAACAGG
rnacentral:rRNA from 1 species